ACGGGGGGAGCAAGCGUUGUUCGGAUUUACUGGGCGUAAAGGGCGCGUAGGCGGCCACGCGUGUCUUCCGUGAAAUCCCUCGGCUUAACUGAGGACGUGCGGAAGAAACUGCGAGGCUCGAGUCCGGGAGAGGGGGGUGGAAUUCCCAGUGUAGCGGUGAAAUGCGUAGAUAUUGGGAGGAACACCAGUGGCGAAGGCGGCUCACCGGACCGGUUCUGACGCUGAGGCGCGAAAGCGUGGGGAGCAAACGGGA
rnacentral:rRNA from 1 species